GGUGGGUUCCCGAGCGGCCAAAGGGAGCAGACUGUAAAUCUGCCGUCAUCGACUUUCGAAGGUUCGAAUCCUUCCCCCACCACCA
rnacentral:tRNA from 1 species